rnacentral:rRNA from 1 species
CCUACGGGAGGCAGCAGUGAGGAAUCUUGCACAAUGGGGGCAACCCUGAUGCAGCGACGCCGCGUGGAUGAUGAAGGCCUUCGGGUUGUAAAGUCCGGUAAGCAGGGAAGAAUAAGCGUGGGGUAAUAUUCCAUGUGAUGACGGUACCUGCCUAAAGCCCCGGCUAACUACGUGCCAGCAGCCGCGGUAAUACGUAUGGGGCGAGCGUUGUUCGGAAUUAUUGGGCGUAAAGGGCGUCUAGGCGGGGGAUUAAGUUAGUUGUGAAAGCUAUGGGCUCAACCCAUAAAUUGCAAUUAAGACUGGUUCUCUUGAGUUCGGGAGAGGAGAGCGGAAUUCCAGGUGUAGCGGUGAAAUGCGUAGAUAUCUGGAAGAACACCAGUGGCGAAGGCGGCUCUCUGGCCUAGAACUGACGCUGAAGCGCGAAAGCGUGGGGAGCAAACGGGCUUAGAUACCCCUGUAGUC